AGGACCAGCUUACACUGAGCUAUCAUGGCAUCCAACAAAUUUGUCAUUAAGAUAGCUAGCACCUUCUUUAAUGGAUUGGCUGUACUGUCCUCAGUAAAUUGAAAGUAGUAGAUCUCCACUUUAUUUAAAAAAUAAUAAUUAUUAAAAAAAACAAAACAACCUUACCAGAUCUUGCAGAAGACUUUCCAGAGGUUUUCAACUAAAGCAAGAGCUUUACAAAAGAUGCUGAUGUGUUGUACUAAAUUACAGCUUGUGAAGAGAACAAAGAAUAGCUUCCUUCUGAGAAAUAUAACCCUCUGUUUACUUUUGGGAAAGCUUUAUGUAAUUUUUUAAUCAGUAAACAUUUGGAUGUUUGCAUGUUUUAAUGCUCAUUUUGAAAACUUUAAAUCUCAAUGUUUGUAAUAUUGGCUAUCUGGUAUUCAUUUUAAUAUAAUAGGUUAUUUCAUGCUGUUUUUCUUUAUAUUCAUGCUUGUGAUACUGAAAUUAUAAGACCACACACAAGGCAGUAAAGUCGCCACUUAAGCGUGUAAACAGUCUGACUUUUUACAAAGUGGAAAAAUAUUUCUUGUGUGCUAUUUUAACAUGAUCAGCAUGUUAAGGCUCAAUGUGCAACUGUGUCAACAUUUCUUUGGCUGUAACCAUUAAUUCUGUAGCCUCUUGAUAAUAUGUAAAAUGUGAAACUGGUUUGUUUACAGUUGGGAUUUGUCAGCAAUUACUGUCUGCAUUGAGCUUAGCUCUUUCAAAUAGAUAAUAGAUCAAAGAAGAUUUUCUUUUUUAGAAUCAUCAUUCUAGUUUUAGUAAAACUAGAGAUUUCUUGGUUUUGUUUUUCAGCUGCCUUUAGGUUCUUUAAAAAUAUGUUAGAGCCAUACAUUUCAUGAAUGUUGUUCUCACAUAAAUUGUAGGCAGAGUUAAAAAUGCAUCACAUAAGAACCUGUAGCUUCAAUUUGUAAAAAAUUUAGCUACAGAGAUGGGAACAUACAUUUCUUUCAGGCCUCAUUUAUCUCUAGAUCUGAUGUGGCUUCACCCCAGCUAGGGUUUUGUUGGUUUUUUUU